UUAUCAUCAUCUUCAUCUGCAUGUAAAUAAAAAGAAUGAAAGUCUGUCCUGGUGGUGUCCAGUCAAACACGUCUCUGUGAAAGCUUCAAUCCAACAGGCUCCAAAGUCCUUCUGCUCAUUUCCUCGCCGGGUUCUUGAUGCUCUUGUACCAUCUCUCUGUCGUCCUCCUCGCUCCCUCUUUGCACUCACAGUCUUUGUGCAUCAUUAACACUCACAUGUGGAAAACCAAAGUUUGACUGAGCAGAAGAUGAUCAUCAGUGACGCCGUCUUUAAAAUACUCUUGUUAGAAAUGUACGACUUUAAUGUGAAAUAUUCAGAGUUUUUUCUCUUGUUGUGUUUGUUUGAAGCUGCUUCCUGUUGGCUUCAGCUGUUUGGAGUUUCCAUUUUCUAAACUUCUACAUUCUGAACCUUCUUCAGCUCUGAACAGAUGAUGAAACACUGAAUGAUUUCAAGCACUUUGUCUAAUAAACUUACAUCUUUCAUUCUUUGUACAGAUUGAAGCGCUGUGAUUUGUCAGAGAUCAGCUGUGAUUAUCUGGCAGCAGCGCUGAAGUCCAACCCCUCCCAUCUGAGAGAGCUGGACCUGAGUAGUGACUCAGGUUAUUCGACUAACAACAACAAGCUGAAGGAUUCAGGAGUGAAGCAUCUGUGUGGUUUCCUGGAGAGUCCAGGAUGUAAACUUGAAACUCUGAGAUUGAGGAGCUGUGGUUUGUCAAAGAUCAGCUGUGAUUAUCUGGCAGCAGCACUGAAGUCCAACCCCUCCCAUCUGAGAGAGCUGAUUCUUUGGGGAAACAAACUGAAGGAUCCAGAUGUGAAGCAGCUGUCUGAUCUUCAGCAGAGUCCAGACUACAGACUGGAGACUCUGGUGUGGAGGUGAUGAUGGUAACAGGACGGUGUGUGUGCUGAGAGAGGAGCAGCUGUGUCCUGAUGA